ACGUUAGCGGCGGACGGGUGAGUAACACGUGGGUAACCUACCUAUAAGACUGGGAUAACUCCGGGAAACCGGAGCUAAUACCGGAUAAUAUUUCGAACCGCAUGGUUCGAUAGUGAAAGAUGGUUUUGCUAUCACUUAUAGAUGGACCUGCGCCGUAUUAGCUAGUUGGUAAGGUAACGGCUUACCAAGGCGACGAUACGUAGCCGACCUGAGAGGGUGAUCGGCCACACUGGAACUGAGACACGGUCCAGACUCCUACGGGAGGCAGCAGGC
rnacentral:rRNA from 1 species